UACGGAGGAUCCAAGCGUUAUCCGGAUUUAUUGGGUUUAAAGGGUGCGCAGGCGGAGUAAUAAGUCAGUGGUGAAAUCCUACAGCUUAACUGUAGAACUGCCAUUGAUACUGUUAUUCUUGAGUAUAUUUGAAGUGGGCGGAAUGUGUCAUGUAGCGGUGAAAUGCUUAGAUAUGACACAGAACACCAAUCGCGAAGGCAGCUCACUAAACUAUAACUGACGCUCAGGCACGAAAGCGUGGGGAU
rnacentral:rRNA from 1 species